CUUUCUUUCCUUCUUUGCUAGAACUUGGUGGGUUUUUUAUAGGUUCACUUAUUAUAUUUUAUCAAUUUUGAGAACAUUUGUUUGCCAUUUUAUAGAUUAUAUUCAUAUUAAAAAUGUACUGGUACUUAGAAUGAUAAAGUACUAAGGUUAAGGGCUGUUCCAGAAAAAACUAUGUCCCCAGGGACGGCACUUUUUUUACCCCUCACCAUCCAUAGAAAUAAAAAUAAACUAAAUCAACACCCCCUUUGGUUUUUUUAUUAUUUCAAAUACAUCCACCCACAUUAACUUUUUAAAAAUUGCCUUUCCUGGGAUGGAAAUAGUAUUUUCUGGAAUAGCCCUAAGAACAGGUUUAAGAAUUAAU
rnacentral:lncRNA from 1 species